GACGAACGCUGGCGGCGUGCUUAACACAUGCAAGUCGAGCGGUAAGGCCCUUUCGGGGGUACACGAGCGGCGAACGGGUGAGUAACACGUGGGUGACCUGCCCUCAGCUCUGGGAUAAGCCUGGGAAACCGGGUCUAAUACUGGAUAUGACUCCAUGACGCAUGUUGUGGGGUGGAAAGCCUUGUGCGGCUGAGGAUGGGCCCGCGGCCUAUCGGCUUGUUGGUGGGGUGAUGGCCUACCAAGGCGACGACGGGUAGCCGGCCUGAGAGGGCGACCGGCCACACUGGGACUGAGACACGGCCCAGACUCCUACGGGAGGCAGCAGUGGGGAAUCUUGCGCAAUGGGCGAAAGCCUGACGCAGCGACGCCGCGUGAGGGAUGACGGCCUGGUU
rnacentral:rRNA from 1 species